rnacentral:rRNA from 1 species
CCUACGGGGGGCAGCAGUGAGGAAUAUUGGUCAAUGGACGAGAGUCUGAACCAGCCAAGUAGCGUGAAGGAUGACUGCCCUAUGGGUUGUAAACUUCUUUUAUAUGGGAAUAAAAUGUUCCACGUGUGGGAUUUUGUAUGUACCAUAUGAAUAGGGAUCGGCUAACUCCGUGCCAGCAGCCGAGGUAAUACGGAGGAUCCGAGCGUUAUCCGGAUUUAUUGGGUUUAAAGGGAGCGUAGGUGGAUUGUUAAGUCAGUUGUGAAAGUUUGCGGCUCAACCGUAAAAUUGCAGUUGAAACUGGCAGUCUUGAGUACAGUAGAGGUGGGCGGAAUUCGUGGUGUAGCGGUGAAAUGCUUAGAUAUCACGAAGAACUCCGAUUGCGAAGGCAGUUCACUGGACUGCAACUGACACUGAGGCUCGAAAGUGUGGGUAUCAAACAGGAUUAGAUACCCCUGUAGUC